AUACGCCUGCCCUGUUAGUGAUAGGUGAAAGUGUUGAUCUGGCAAAUUAGAUCUUUUGGGAGCUUAAGUAAGGAGACGGUGUGCAGGUCUCUCACGAGGAGAAAGCCUAAAGUCUCCUUCAGGGCACCCACCUUUUAAUCUAGGCAGAUCUAAUUUCUCCUCACACGGCAGGGUGGGUUUAUA
rnacentral:other from 1 species